rnacentral:rRNA from 1 species
UACGUAGGGUGCGAGCGUUAUCCGGAUUCACUGGGUUUAAAGGGUGCGUAGGCGGGCAGGUAAGUCCGUGGUGAAAUCUCUGAGCUUAACUCAGAAACUGCCAUGGAUACUAUUUGUCUUGAAUAUUGUGGAGGUAAGCGGAAUAUGUCAUGUAGCGGUGAAAUGCUUAGAUAUGACAUAGAACACCAAUUGCGAAGGCAGCUUACUACACAGUUAUUGACGCUGAGGCACGAAAGCGUGGGGAUCAAACAGG